AAUAUGUGGUCUAGAUUUAAUCUAACAAAACUAUCAUUUUAUCAAAUAAAACUAUCAUUUUCGGAUAUAUUAAGGGCAAAAUUGUCAUUUCGUUCUAAAAUUUGGUGGGAAAGAAGGAAACUAGACUCAAACGCUCCAUUCAAUUUCUCUCACACUCAAACCCUGCAUUCAAUUUCUCUCACAAUCAAACCCUCUGAAUCGCGUUUCAAAGCCUUCGAAUCGAAAGAAAAAUCAUCCGAUUCUGGAAUAUGUCGAAGGAAAACGCUCAAGCAUCAUCGAAGAAAGCCUUCGAAGAGUCCUGCGGUCAAACGAGAAAGAUGUCCGCCACAAAGCGGAAGAAAACAGAAGCUGUUGUGAACAGCCAGCGCCUGCUGUUAAUGGCGCCCAGGAAGAUGCCGCCCAACAGGCAUGAAGUGCGUAGAUGGUGAAGCCAAGCGCGAGCAUGAUAGGAUCUCUAACUGAAACUCAGCGCUUGUUUUAAUUACCAUACUUCAGCAUAGAUUCUGUUGGUAGACAUUUACUUAUGUAGGCUUUAAACAUUAUUUUGCCAUUGUUUGUGGUUCAAUUUGAACUAGAUUAGACUUUUCAUUUGUAGGUC